CUUGUAUUUGCAAGGAGGGAUACCAACUUCAUACUGACACAGCUAGCAAUCUCAAAACAUGUGUCAUUAAGAAUACUAUCUGGACGAUCGUUGUUGGUGACACGAUAUCAGCAGUAGAUGCUAAAUCAACAGCAGAAUGUCCAAAUGGAUUGAAGGUGAUGAGGUGUAUGACUUACGGAGUUCCAACUGCAAGUGACGGAGUUGUGAUCGAGAAUUCAGGGGCCUCCUGUG